rnacentral:misc_RNA from 1 species
GAUGAAGAACGUAGCAAAAUGCGAUAAGUAGUGUGAAUUGCAGAAUUCAGUGAAUCAUCGAAUCUUUGAACGCACAUUGCGCCCCUUGGUAUUCCAUGGGGCAUGCCUGUUCGAGCGUCAUUUGUACCUUCAAGCUUUGCUUGGUGUUGGGUGUUUGUCCAUUCUCUUGCAGAGGGACUCGCCUUAAAGUAAUUGGCAGCCAGUGUUUUGGUUUUGAAGCGCAGCACAAGUCGCGAUUCAAAGCUAUACGCCCGCUUCCACAAGCCUUUUUCACUUUUGACCUCGGAUCAGGUAGGGAUACCCGCUGAACUUAAGCAUAUCAAUAAGCGGAGGA